GUUCUGUAAGCCUGUGAAGGUGGCCUGUGAGGGUUGCUGGAGGUAUCAGAAGUGCGAAUGCUGACAUAAGUAACGAUAAAGCGGGUGAAAAGCCCGCUCGCCGGAAGACCAAGGGUUCCUGUCCAACGUUAAUCGGGGCAGGGUGAGUCGACCCCUAAGGCGAGGCCGAAAGGCGUAGUCGAUGGGAAACGGGUUAAUAUUCCCGUACUUGGUGUUACUGCGAAGGGGGGACGGAGAAGGCUAUGUUGGCCGGGCGACGGUUGUCCCGGUUUAAGCGUGUAGGUGUGUGUUCCAGGUAAAUCCGGUUCACUUUAACACUGAGGCGUGACGACGAGGCACUACGGUGCUGAAGCAACAAAUGCCCUGCUUCCAGGAAAAGCCUCUAAGCAUCAGGUAACAUCAAAUCGUACCCCAAACCGACACAGGUGGUCAGGUAGAGAAUACCAAGGCGCUUGAGAGAACUCGGGUGAAGGAACUAGGCAAAAUGGUGCCGUAACUUCGGGAGAAGGCACGCUGACACGUAGGUGAAGUGAUUUACUCAUGGAGCUGAAGUCAGUCGAAGAUACCAGCUGGCUGCAACUGUUUAUUAAAAACACAGCACUGUGCAAACACGAAAGUGGACGUAUACGGUGUGACGCCUGCCCGGUGCCGGAAGGUUAAUUGAUGGGGUCAGCGCAAGCGAAGCUCCUGAUCGAAGCCCCGGUAAACGGCGGCCGUAACUAUAACGGUCCUAAGGUAGCGAAAUUCCUUGUCGGGUAAGUUCCGACCUGCACGAAUGGCGUAAUGAUGGCCAGGCUGUCUCCACCCGAGACUCAGUGAAAUUGAACUCGCUGUGAAGAUGCAGUGUACCCGCGGCAAGACGGAAAGACCCCGUGAACCUUUACUAUAGCUUGACACUGAACAUUGAGCCUUGAUGUGUAGGAUAGGUGGGAGGCUUUGAAGUGUGGACGCCAGUCUGCAUGGAGCCGACCUUGAAAUACCACCCUUUAAUGUUUGAUGUUCUAACGUGGACCCGUUACCCGGGUUGCGGACAGUGUCUGGUGGGUAGUUUGACUGGGGCGGUCUCCUCCUAAAGAGUAACGGAGGAGCACGAAGGUUGGCUAAUCCUGGUCGGACAUCAGGAGGUUAGUGCAAUGGCAUAAGCCAGCUUGACUGCGAGCGUGACGGCGCGAGCAGGUGCGAAAGCAGGUCAUAGUGAUCCGGUGGUUCUGAAUGGAAGGGCCAUCGCUCAACGGAUAAAAGGUACUCCGGGGAUAACAGGCUGAUACCGCCCAAGAGUUCAUAUCGACGGCGGUGUUUGGCACCUCGAUGUCGGCUCAUCACAUCCUGGGGCUGAAGUAGGUCCCAAGGGUAUGGCUGUUCGCCAUUUAAAGUGGUACGCGAGCUGGGUUUAGAACGUCGUGAGACAGUUCGGUCCCUAUCUGCCGUGGGCGCUGGAGAACUGAGGGGGGCUGCUCCUAGUACGAGAGGACCGGAGUGGACGCAUCACUGGUGUUCGGGUUGUCAUGCCAAUGGCACUGCCCGGUAGCUAAAUGCGGAAGAGAUAAGUGCUGAAAGCAUCUAAGCACGAAACUUGCCCCGAGAUGAGUUCUCCCUGAGACUUUAGGUCUCCUGAAGGAACGUUGAAGACGACGACGUUGAUAGGCCGGGUGUGUAAGCGCAGCGAUGCGUUGAGCUAACCGGUACUAAUGAACCGUGAGGCUUAACCUUACAACGCCGAAG
rnacentral:rRNA from 1 species